rnacentral:tRNA from 1 species
UUUACAGAAGAGAAAAUACACUCACAGAAAUUUGAACUCUGAAAUAGGAUACACCAUCCUCUGUAAAA